AUGUGUGUUCCAAAAGAUCAAGGAGGAAUGCGAUUCAGGGAUAUACAUUGUUUUAAUCUAGCAUUGUUAGCUAAACAAGGCUGGCGUCUCCUAGAUAAUCCUGAAUCGUUAUGUGCCACAAUCUUAAGAGCUAAAUAUUCCCCGGAGGGUGAUUUGAUGAACGCAAGUUUAAAACAUGGUUCCUCUUUUACUUGGCAAAGUAUUAUGGCUGGAGUGGACUCUCUCAAGAAUGGUUAUAUAUGA
rnacentral:rRNA from 1 species